rnacentral:rRNA from 1 species
GAUGAACGCUGGCGGCGUGCCUAAUACAUGCAAGUCGAGCGAACAGACGAGGAGCUUGCUCCUCUGACGUUAGCGGCGGACGGGUGAGUAACACGUGGAUAACCUACCUAUAAGACUGGGAUAACUUCGGGAAACCGGAGCUAAUACCGGAUAAUAUAUUGAACCGCAUGGUUCAAUAGUGAAAGACGGUUUUGCUGUCACUUAUAGAUGGAUCCGCGCCGCAUUAGCUAGUUGGUAAGGUAACGGCUUACCAAGGCAACGAUGCGUAGCCGACCUGAGAGGGGGAUCGGCCACACUGGAACUGAGACACGGUCCAGACUCCUACGGGAGGCAGCAGUAGGGAAUCUUCCGCAAUGGGCGAAAGCCUGACGGAGCAACGCCGCGUGAGUGAUGAAGGUCUUCGGAUCGUAAAACGCUGUUAUUAGGGAAGAACAAAUGUGUAAGUAACGAUGCACGUCUUGACGGUACCUAAGCAGAAAGCCACGGCUAACUACGU